GAUGAACGCUGGCGGCGUGCCUAAUACAUGCAAGUCGAGCGAACAGACGAGGAGCUUGCUCCUCUGACGUUAGCGGCGGACGGGUGAGUAACACGUGGAUAACCUACCUAUAAGACUGGGAUAACUUCGGGAAACCGGAGCUAAUACCGGAUAAUAUAUUGAACCGCAUGGUUCAAUAGUGAAAGACGGUUUUGCUGUCACUUAUAGAUGGAUCCGCGCCGCAUUAGCUAGUUGGUAAGGUAACGGCUUACCAAGGCAACGAUGCGUAGCCGACCUGAGAGGGUGAUCGGCCACACUGGAACUGAGACACGGUCCAGACUCCUACGGGAGGCAGCAGUAGGAAAUCUUCCGCAAUGGGCGAAAGCCUGACGGAGUAACGCCGCGUGAGUGAUGAAGGUCUUCGGAUCGUAAAACUCUGUUAUUAGGGAAGAACAAAUGUGUAAGUAACUAUGCACGUCUUGACGGUACCUAAUCAGAAAGCCACGGCUAACUACGUG
rnacentral:rRNA from 1 species